rnacentral:rRNA from 1 species
UGGGGGAUAUUGCACAAUGGGGGAAACCCUGAUGCAGCGACGCCGCGUGGAGGAAGAAGGUUUUCGGAUUGUAAACUCCUGUCGUUAGGGACGAUAAUGACGGUACCUAACAAGAAAGCACCGGCUAACUACGUGCCAGCAGCCGCGGUAAAACGUAGGGUGCAAGCGUUGUCCGGAAUUACUGGGUGUAAAGGGAGCGCAGGCGGACCGGCAAGUUGGAAGUGAAAACUAUGGGCUCAACUCAUAAAUUGCUUUCAAAACUGCUGUUCUUGAGUGAAGUAGAGGUAAGCGGAAUUCCUGGUGUAGCGGUGAAAUGCGUAGAGAUCAGGAGGAACAUCGGUGGCGAAGGCGGCUUACUGGGCUUUUACUGACGCUGAGGCUCGAAAGCGUGGGGAGCAAACAGGAUUAGAUACCCUGGUAGUCCACGCUGUAAACGAUGAUUACUAGGUGUGGGGGGAUUGACCCCUUCCGUGCCGCAGUUAACACAAUAAGUAAUCCACCUGGGGAGUACGACCGCAAGGUUGAAACUCAAAGGAAUUGACGGGGGCCCGCACAAGCAGUGGAGUAUGUGGUUUAAUUCGAAGCAACGCGAAGAACCUUACCAGGUCUUGACAUCGAGUGACGUAUCCAGAGAUGGAUAUUUCCUUCGGGACACAAAGACAGGUGGUGCAUGGUUGUCGUCAGCUCGUGUCGUGAGAUGUUGGGUUAAGUCCCGCAACGAGCGCAACCCUUAUCAUUAGUUGCUACGCAAGAGCACUCUAAUGAGACUGCCGUUGACAAAACGGAGGAAGGUGGGGAUGACGUCAAAUCAUCAUGCCCCUUAUGACCUGGGCUACACACGUACUACAAUGGCGAUCAAACAGAGGGAAGCAAGACAGCGAUGUGGAGCCAAUCCCAAAAAAUCGCCCCAGUUCAGAUUGCAGGCUGCAACUCGCCUGCAUGAAGUCGGAAUUGCUAGUAAUCGCAGAUCAGCAUGCUGCGGUGAAUACGUUCCC